AGUGGCAGCAGGACAUCCAGUAAGCACUGGUUCGAACCAAGGGAUACAGAACAGCAUCUCUGCACACACAACACGUCCAACCUUGAACCAGAUGGGCUACA